rnacentral:hammerhead_ribozyme from 1 species
AUUUAACUGACAAGUCCUAAAUAGGAUGAAAUGGACAUCCUGAAU